GUGGGUAGUUUGACUGGGGCGGUCUCCUCCUAAAGAGUAACGGAGGAGCACGAAGGUUGGCUAAUCCUGGUCGGACAUCAGGAGGUUAGUGCAAUGGCAUAAGCCAGCUUGACUGCGAGCGUGACGGCGCGAGCAGGUGCGAAAGCAGGUCAUAGUGAUCCGGUGGUUCUGAAUGGAAGGGCCAUCGCUCAACGGAUAAAAGGUACUCCGGGGAUAACAGGCUGAUACCGCCCAAGAGUUCAUAUCGACGGCGGUGUUUGGCACCUCGAUGUCGGCUCAUCACAUCCUGGGGCUGAAGUAGGUCCCAAGGGUAUGGCUGUUCGCCAUUUAAAGUGGUACGCGAGCUGGGUUUAGAACGUCGUGAGACAGUUCGGUCCCUAUCUGCCGUGGGCGCUGGAGAACUGAGGGGGGCUGCUCCUAGUACGAGAGGACCGGAGUGGACGCAUCACUGGUGUUCGGGUUGUCAUGCCAAU
rnacentral:rRNA from 4 species